AGCCUUUAUCUCCACUCUGCGGAGAUUCACGCCUGGAAAACGCUCUUCUGAGAGGAUCUGUGGAGGUCAACCCAGGAGAGAGAAGACAGGACUGAAGCACUGAAAGGGUCCUGCCGUUAAGGGCGCAGGAUUGUAUAGAAUAUAUAAUAGCAGUAGCAGCUCUGUUUACGGAGCAUUAACCUUACGUGGAGUUAUUUCCUGCAUUUCCUCCUUUCGUCUUUACAAGGUAGCCGUUUGGCGUCGUGAGUAUGUGCCAAAUCUACUAGACAUUGGAGAAACAGUAGGAACAACACAUGGUACCGGCACAUGGAUCUUUCAGGAAAACGAAGUAGGUAAUAAACAGGAAAAAGCCCGAGUCUGAUGCUAAGAAGAACAUAAACAGGAUGCUGAGAGAUUGGGUCUCUCCACAUUGCCCCGGCUGCUCUCCAACCCCUGAGUUCAAGUGAUUCACCUCCCUUGGCCUCCCAAAGUACUGGGAUUACAGGCGUGAGCCACCGUGCCUGGCUGAGAAGAUGGAUUUAAGACAUAUUUUGGAGCGGAAAGUGACCAGAAGAGGUGUGCAGUUUCCAGGCCUGGCCCAUACAGACCUCCAACAGGUGCUCCCCUGUGCUGUUACUCCUUCUGCCAACUGGAAGCAGAUGGUGACCAGGCUCUGGAGAAGGCAAGGCCUGAAGAUGGGAGAUUCCUAAGUGGAGGAGAACUGUGCCUUACUGACCUAAAUAUCCACUCAGUAUUGUUAUGUGAGAAUAAAUAAACUUGUGUUGACCGUUUA
rnacentral:lncRNA from 1 species